GUCUAUGGUCAUACCACCCUGAACGUGCCCAAUCUUGUCUGAUCUCGAAAGCUAAACAGGGUUGGGACUGGUUAGUACUUGGAUAGAAGACAGUGUGGACUGUGGCUA
rnacentral:rRNA from 1 species